UCUAUGCACCGACGGUGCAUGGAAUCCUCUCCGUAAAUACCAGCAGUGUGCAAGUCACGUGCAUUAACAGACGUUGCCAUCCGUUGGUUAGUGAAGAAAACGGAAACGAAGAACCAAAAAACCAAAGUGCAGUAAAAACAAAAUUUACCCUGGCCACUCAGCGUUGUUGAGAUCGGCCUUUGUUAUGCCCGACCUUUCAAUUUUUGUUUGCUUGGGAAUUGCAGCUAGCAGAGAGCCAGAGACUGUUCUUUUCACUGAUCUUUAUGCAGAACACAAAGGAAAGAUCAACAAGAGCGAGAUUCGGAGUGCGCAUGGAGAAGACAGAGCGGUUCUAGUCUCCGAAGGGUCCCUCCGAACAAGAAGAAUUAGAAGAACAGCAAUUGUUGAUUGAUAGUUCCUGAGGCGAAGACCAAUUCUUUUCUUUCAGGUUAAGAUGGGUGUCCCUCCGUUUCAGGUUAUUCUUCACUCUGCGAAACCCUAGUUCCCAAUUCAAUACCGAAUCCGGAGUUCUUCUUAGCAUUCACCCCACGGAGCUCAAAUUCCCCUUUGAACCUCCAAAUCCAAAGGAAGCUGUAAAGUGGUUAUAUCUUGCUUCUUUUCAGGGCCAUGUCCGAGCUCAAUACCAACUUGCAAUUUGUCUGUAUCAGGGACGUGGGGCAGAUCGUAACAUGAAAGAAGCGGUAUGUUACUACAUCACUCUUGAGUUAUCUAUGAAAUUUUAUAUUCUUAUUUUCUUAUAUAUUUCAUUCAAAACUUUGGAUUUUUUUUUUUUUGAAAGAAAGGAGGGCAGUGCAACUGCUCUUACACCUUAUCCAUUAAUGAAACCAUAGAAUACAUGAGGGGGACAUAGUGCCUUAACCCCAAAUUACACCUUAUCCAUUAAUGAAACUUUGGAUUUUAUGAAGUCACAAAAUGAAGGGUUUAUAAUUUAAAGUAACAUAAUUUAGGGGAAUUUAGUCCAAAUUACAGUAUAGGGGAUGAAGGGAUGGCACUCUAGCUAACCCUAAAAUUUCUGCUGAACAUUAUGUUUUGUGUUUUGUAGCUGGUUUUAACUUACAGUUUUGACAGAAAAUAGUAGGCACUCUCUGCUCCUCUACUAAAAUGAUUUGGAAUUGAAGAACUCUACAUUUUCUUUUUGGGUUUUCCUUCUGCGUUUUGGUUUUUCUGGUAUCCAAGAAUUCUACAUUUUCACUCCUGGUAUCCAAGAACUCUACAUUUUCGUUUUGGGUUUUCCUUCUGCGUUUUGGUUUUUCUGGUCAGCACUUGCACUUGAAAUUGUCAAUAAUUCGAGCAAUGAACUAUUGAAAUCGGUGAUGAGAGCUGCCAUGAAAGGUGAAGGUUGCGGAGAAGGUAUUUCUAAUGCUGCGGAGGCCACAAAAUCCAAUGUGGAGGCCACACAGUCCAAUGCUGUCGUUGCAACUGACUGUGACACAACAACGGACAUUAUCCACGAGAAGGUUCCUAACGGUCGAAAAUGUCGCAGCCAUCGCAGGAGAAAAUCCCGAGUCUGAUGAUGAUUUGGACAGUAUUUAGCCAUCUGAAUUUGUAAUGACUGACAAACUCGGUUUCACUUGUGUCACCCUUCUACUUGCCAAUACCCAAUAGUGUACCAUCCUCCAAAAGGGCUGAAGAAUUGGCCUAUGCUAUACAAUGUUGUCGAGAGAUCACAGCGACACUUUGGAGAAUGUGAUCACAAAAGCAAUGUUAAGGAAGAUAAAACCAGAUCAUCUUGCACUUGGACUGGCUGUUUGAGUUCAGAUAUUUAAGAUACAGCUUAUUAUUUGUAUUGGUUUUCUGUAUAUGUUUAAAUGAAGCAAAGUUAACCUGAUUACCUGAAUGAGAUUAGUUUUCUUAUAAUUGAAAUAUGUUAUAUGUUU